rnacentral:misc_RNA from 1 species
AAGACUAUAGACCUGCGGAGUACCUGCGGAAGGAUCAUUACAGAGUUCAUGCCCUCACGGGUAGAUCUCCCACCCUUGAAUACUAUACCUUUGUUGCUUUGGCGGGCCGCUUUGGCUACUGGCUCUGGCUAGUAAGUGCCCGCCAAAGAACUCCAAAACUCUGAAUAUUAGUGUCGUCUGAGUACUAUAUAAUAGUUAAAACUUUCAACAACGGAUCUCU